GAGGAGCCGUCAUCGAGACUUCGUCUAGAAUCGAGGGAAGCUGACUUCGUGAAGAAACUUGGUAGAAAAUCGAGAAUCGUCCGAGACGGUAAGCGAACUUCUGUGGCUCAAAUCUCGUUCUAUGUUGAGGCUAAAAUCACGAAAAAA